rnacentral:rRNA from 1 species
UACAGAGGUCCCAAGCGUUGUUCGGAUUCACUGGGCGUAAAGGGUGCGCAGGUGGGUUGGCAAGUUCGAUGUGAAAGCCCCGGGCUUAACCCGGGAAUGGCAUUGGAAACUGCUGAUCUGGAGGAUCGGAGGGGGGACUGGAAUUCUUGGUGUAGCAGUGAAAUGCGUAGAUAUCAAGAGGAACACCAGUGGCGAAGGCGAGUCCCUGGACGAUACCUGACACUGAGGCACGAAAGCCAAGGGAGCAAACAGG